rnacentral:misc_RNA from 1 species
GAUCAUUACUGUGAUUUACUACUACACUGCGUGAGCGGAACGAAAACAACAACACCUAAAAUGUGGAAUAUAGCAUAUAGUCGACAAGAGAAAUCUACGAAAAAACAAACAAAACUUUCAACAACGGAUCUCUUGGUUCUCGCAUCGAUGAAGAGCGCAGCGAAAUGCGAUACCUAGUGUGAAUUGCAGCCAUCGUGAAUCAUCGAGUUCUUGAACGCACAUUGCGCCCCUCGGCAUUCCGGGGGGCAUGCCUGUUUGAGCGUCGUUUCCAUCUUGCGCGUGCGCAGAGUUGGGGGAGCGGAGCGGACGACGUGUAAAGAGCGUCGGAGCUGCGACUCGCCUGAAAGGGAGCGAAGCUGGCCGAGCGAACUAGACUUUUUUUCAGGGACGCUUGGCGGCCGAGAGCGAGUGUUGCGAGACAACAAAAAGCUCGACCUCAAAUCAG